ACGAACGCUGGCGGCGUGCUUAACACAUGCAAGUCGAACGGAAAGGCCCUGCUUUUGUGGGGUGCUCGAGUGGCGAACGGGUGAGUAACACGUGAGUAACCUGCCCUUGACUUUGGGAUAACUUCAGGAAACUGGGGCUAAUACCGGAUAGGAGCUCCUGCUGCAUGGUGGGGGUUGGAAAGUUUCGGCGGUUGGGGAUGGACUCGCGGCUUAUCAGCUUGUUGGUGGGGUAGUGGCUUACCAAGGCUUUGACGGGUAGCCGGCCCGAGAGGGUGACCGGCCACAUUGGGACUGAGAUACGGCCCAGACUCCUACGGGAGGCAGCAGUGGGCAAUAUUGCACAAUGGGCGGAAGCCUGAUGCAGCAACGCCGCGUGCGGGAUGACGGCCUUCGGGUUGUAAACCGCUUUCGCCUGUGACGAAGCGUGAGUGACGGUAAUGGGUAAAGAAGCACCGGCUAACUACGUG
rnacentral:rRNA from 1 species